UAAUAGUGUAUAUUAAAGUUGUUGCAGUUAAAAAGCUCGUAGUUGAAUGUUGGUGUCGAACGAGCGGUCAGCUUCGGCUGUACUGCUCUCUCGACUCCUUCCUUCUGUGGACUACGUCGCACUUUACCGUGUGGCGCUAGGACGCAGAUCGUUUACUGUGAAAAAAUUAGAGUGUUCAAAGCAGGCCGUACGCUUGAAUACAUUAGCAUGGAAUAAUGGAAUAGGACGUCGGGCCUAUUUUGUUGGUUCUAGGACCGUCGUAAUGAUUAAUAGGGACAGUUGGGGCCGUUUAUAUUCCGUAGUCAGAGGUGAAAUUCUUGGAUUUACGGAAGAUAAACUACUGCGAAAGCAUUCGGCAAGGAUGUUUUCGUUAA
rnacentral:rRNA from 1 species